CUACGGGUGGCACCAGUGGGGAAUAUUGGACAAUGGGGGAAACCCUGAUCCAGCAAUGCCGCGUGUGUGAAGAAGGCCUGCGGGUUGUAAAGCACUUUCGGUUGGGAGGACUGCUUCUAGCACUAAUAUUGUUGGAAGUUGACGUUACCUUCAGAAGAAGCACCGGCUAACUCCGUGCCAGCAGCCGCGGUAAUACGGAGGGUGCAAGCGUUAAUCGGAAUUACUGGGCGUAAAGCGCGCGUAGGCGGCCAGAUCAGUCGGGUGUGAAAGCCCCGGGCUUAACCUGGGAACUGCAUCCGAUACUGUCUAGCUUGAGUACAGGAGAGGAGAGUGGAAUUCCACAUGUAGCGGUGAAAUGCGUAGAUAUGUGGAGGAACACCAAUGGCGAAGGCAGCUCUCUGGCCUGAUACUGACGCUGAGGUGCGAAAGCGUCGGGAGCAAACAGGAUUAGAUACCCCGGUAGUC
rnacentral:rRNA from 1 species